ACGGGGGGGGCAAGCGUUGUUCGGAAUUACUGGGCGUAAAGGGCUCGUAGGCGGCCAACUAAGUCAGACGUGAAAUCCCUCGGCUUAACCGGGGAACUGCGUCUGAUACUGGAUGGCUUGAGUGUGGGAGAGGGAUGCGGAAUUCCAGGUGUAGCGGUGAAAUGCGUAGAUAUUGGGAGGAACACCGGUGGCGAAGGCGGCUACCUGGACCGGUUCUGACGCUGAUGCGCGAAAGCGUGGGGAGCAAACAGGA
rnacentral:rRNA from 1 species